rnacentral:rRNA from 1 species
AUUGAACGCUGGCGGCAUGCCUUACACAUGCAAGUCGAACGGUAACAGGUCUUCGGAUGCUGACGAGUGGCGAACGGGUGAGUAAUACAUCGGAACGUGCCUAGUAGUGGGGGAUAACUACUCGAAAGAGUGGCUAAUACCGCAUGAGAUCUACGGAUGAAAGCAGGGGAUCGCAAGACCUUGUGCUACUAGAGCGGCCGAUGGCAGAUUAGGUAGUUGGUGGGAUAAAAGCUUACCAAGCCGACGAUCUGUAGCUGGUCUGAGAGGACGAUCAGCCACACUGGGACUGAGACGCGGCCCAGACUCCUACGGGAGGCAGCAGUGGGGAAUUUUGGACAAGGGGCGCAAGCCCGAUCCAGCAAUGCCGCGUGCAGGAUGAAGGCCUUCGGGUUGUAAACUGCUUUUGUACGGAACGAAAAGCCCUGGGUUAAUACCCUGGGGUCAUGACGGUACCGUAAGGAUAAGCACCGGCUAACUACGUGCCAGCAGCCGCCGUAACAC